rnacentral:lncRNA from 1 species
AGCUUAAGAGCCUUUUAUCAUGAGUUUUUGUUUGAGAGUUCGUGAGUUCUGCUUGACUCAUUAUUUGGCUUGGGCUUAAUCCAUGCCUUCGAUCACUUUAGAUCAGGCUCUCUCUUCCUUCUUUUUUUUUUGACUUUGGCACCAUCGGAGGAGUAUGUGGGUGUGCUGGAGGACCUGGGUAUGUGGAUGCCAAUCUUGGCAUAGUAGGAGGGGUCAACCAAAGGAUGGGUGCAUGUGGAGUGAAGGAUGGGUGCAUGCGGAGCGAAGGAGGGACGCAUGUGGAGGAGUAGCCGGCUAA